rnacentral:rRNA from 1 species
CAGUCGCCGCGGUAAAACGUAGGUGGCAAGCGUUGUCCGGAAUUAUUGGGCGUAAAGGGCUCGCAGGCGGUUUCUUAAGUCUGAUGUGAAAGCCCCCGGCUCAACCGGGGAGGGUCAUUGGAAACUGGGAAACUUGAGUGCAGAAGAGGAGAGUGGAAUUCCACGUGUAGCGGUGAAAUGCGUAGAGAUGUGGAGGAACACCAGUGGCGAAGGCGACUCUCUGGUCUGUAACUGACGCUGAGGAGCGAAAGCGUGGGGAGCGAACAGGAUUAGAUACCCGAGUAGUCCCUGUCUCUUAUAA